rnacentral:rRNA from 1 species
AAAAACAGACUCUUCGGAGGCGUGGAAACCGGCGCACGGGUUGAUUAACGCGUGGGCAUCUGUCCUGGAGUGGGGGAUAACCGCUGGAAACGGCGGCUAAUACCGCAUACGCCCUAAGGGGGAAAGAUUUAUCGCUCUGGGAUGAGCCCGCGUCCGAUUAACUUGUUGGUGGGGUAAUGGCCUACCAAGGCGACGAUCGGUAGCUGGUCUGAGAGGAUGGUCAGCCACACUGGGACUGAGACACGGCCCAGACUCCUACGGGAGGCAGCAGUGGGGAAUAUUGGACAAUGGGCGCAAGCCUGAUCCACCCAU